UACGGGGGGAGCAAGCGUUGUUCGGAUUUACUGGGCGUAAAGGGCGCGUAGGCGGUCGUGACAAGUCACUUGUGAAAUCUCCGGGGCUUAACUCGGAACGGUCAAGUGAUACUGUCGGACUAGAGUACAGAAGGGGGCAACUGGAAUUCUUGGUGUAGCGGUGAAAUGCGUAGAUAUCAAGAGGGAACACCUGCGGCGAAGGCGGGUUGCUGGGCC
rnacentral:rRNA from 1 species